GACUUAAAGCAAACAAGAUUUAGAUUUGUUGGUAGGAUGGAAGUGGCCAACGAAUGGAGCUCUUUUUCCUAUAUAUAUAGACCAUUUGCCUAAUUCGUUUCUUGCUUAUUGUAGUAUCGAUAGCUCCUUGCUAGUAUUGUUUUAUUUAUAAAAUUCCACCUUUGUCGUUCAAAAUAUAUAGACCAUUUUGCUCAAACUUUAUACCCUUGUUUAUAUAUUCUUUUGCGACUAUACAACAUUCUUUCGUUACCAUCAUUACUGUGGAUGCUACAUAAAUGGAUGAGAUACAAUAUAGGAUUUUCCAUAUCACAAAGGAAUUGGUUGAGACAACUUGCUAGGUGAAAUGCGACAUUUGCUCUCAUUGAGGAAGGACAACCUUGAUGAUGCAUUAUUACAAAAUCCUCAUCGUCGUCGUCAAGAAUGGGUGUUGGGUUGAGUUAGGAAUCGAAUGGAUCGAAAUUUUCGAGAUCUAUCUCGGCCAUUUGGCGCAUAACGUAUUGUCAAGGAUCCAUUGCGGGAGGGGGAGGAGGAUGAUAUAUCGGUUGAGCAUAAGAUUGCCUUCGAAUUGGUGGUUCGAGAAUAUAGUAUUGUGAGCUUGAUUGUUGUUACUAUUGUUGUUGAUAUUGUUGUUGAUUUUGUUGUGGAUAUUGUUCUUGUUCUUCGCCUCAACCCCGACCUCGACCUCGACCUCGUGAGACACUAGCUACGUUUUGUUGUUGUUUUCGUCUCUAUGGAUCCAUGUUAAAUUGUGGUA